rnacentral:rRNA from 1 species
AACGAACGCUGGCGGCAUGCCUAACACAUGCAAGUCGAACGAUUGCCUUCGGGUGAUAGUGGCGCACGGGUGCGUAACGCGUGGGAAUCUGCCCUUAGGUUCGGAAUAACAGCUGGAAACGGCUGCUAAUACCGGAUGAUAUCGCGAGAUCAAAGAUUUAUCGCCUGAGGAUGAGCCCGCGUUGGAUUAGGUAGUUGGUGGGGUAAAGGCCUACCAAGCCGACGAUCCAUAGCUGGUCUGAGAGGAUGAUCAGCCACACUGGGACUGAGACACGGCCCAGACUCCUACGGGAGGCAGCAGUGGGGAAUAUUGGACAAUGGGCGCAAGCCUGAUCCAGCAAUGCCGCGUGAGUGAUGAAGGCCCUAGGGUUGUAAAGCGCUUUUACCCGGGAAGAUAAUGACUGUACCGGGAGAAUAAGCCCCGGCUAACUCCGUG